rnacentral:misc_RNA from 1 species
GAUGAAGAACGCAGUGAAAUGCGAUAACUAGUGUGAAUUGCAGAAUUCCGUGAAUCAUCGAGUCUUUGAACGCACAUUGCGCCCCCUGGUAUUCCGGGGGGCAUGCCUGUCCGAGCGUCAUUGCUGCCCAUCAAGCACGGCUUGUGUGUUGGGUCGUCGUCCCCUCUCCGGGGGGGACGGGCCCCAAAGGCAGCGGCGGCACCGCGUCCGAUCCUCGAGCGUAUGGGGCUUUGUCACCCGCUCUGUAGGCCCGGCCGGCGCUUGCCGAACGCAAAUCAAUCUUUUUCCAGGUUGACCUCGGAUUAGGUAGGGAUACCCGCUGAACUUAAGCAUAUCAAUAAGCGGAGGA